GAUGAAGAACGUAGCGAAAUGCGAUAAGUAAUGUGAAUUGCAGAAUUCCGUGAAUCAUCGAAUCUUUGAACGCACAUUGCGCCCCUUGGUAUUCCAUGGGGCAUGCCUGUUCGAGCGUCAUUUGUACCUUCAAGCUCUGCUUGGUGUUGGGUGUUUGUCUCGCCUCUGCGUGUAGACUCGCCUCAAAACAAUUGGCAGCCGGCGUAUUGAUUUCGGAGCGCAGUACAUCUCGCGCUUUGCACUCAUAACGACGACGUCCAAAAGUACAUUUUUACACUCUUGACCUCGGAUCAGGUAGGGAUACCCGCUGAACUUAAGCAUAUCAAUAAGCGGAGGA
rnacentral:misc_RNA from 1 species